UGGUUUUAUGGGGUAGAAUGGCAUGUAUAGGGUUGUAUGAGUUUUUAAGCAAAUGUUAUGUUUUUGAACAAUGUGAGUUGCUUGUGUGUUGUAGUUGGGGUUUUUGUUGGUUUGAUGCCCCUAGGAGCUUGUAUGUUUGCUUGUGAAUGCUUGGGAAUGUUGUAGAAUAGGUUUAUGCAUGAUUGGUUAGUUUUGGAGGCAUAAAUGCAUAAGGGAGCCAAGUUUCUGCCCUUUGG
rnacentral:lncRNA from 1 species